CCUACGGGUGGCAGCAGUGAGGAAUAUUGGUCAAUGGGCGAGAGCCUGAACCAGCCAAGUCGCGUGAAGGAUGACUGCCCUAUGGGUUGUAAACUUCUUUUAUAUGGGAAUAAAGUGAGGAACGUGUUCCUUUUUGUAUGUACCAUAUGAAUAAGCAUCGGCUAACUCCGUGCCAGCAGCCGCGGUAAUACGGAGGAUGCGAGCGUUAUCCGGAUUUAUUGGGUUUAAAGGGAGCGUAGGUGGUUUGUUAAGUCAGUGGUGAAAGUUUGUGGCUCAACCGUAAAAUUGCCGUUGAAACUGGUAGUCUUGAGUACAUUUGAGGUAGGCGGAAUGCGUGGUGUAGCGGUGAAAUGCUUAGAUAUCACGCAGAACUCCGAUUGCGAAGGCAGCUUACUAAACUGUAACUGACACUGAUGCUCGAAAGUGUGGGUAUCAAACAGGAUUAGAUACCCCGGUAGUC
rnacentral:rRNA from 1 species